rnacentral:tRNA from 1 species
GGACAGGUGGCCGAGCGGCUGAAGGCACCGGUUUGCUAAACCGGCGAGUCUCUUAUAGGGGCUCCGCGGGUUCGAAUCCCGCCCUGUCCG